CGCGUAGGCGGACAGUUUAGUCAGAGGUGAAAGCCCAGGGCUCAACCUUGGAAUAGCCUUUGAUACUGGCUGUCUUGAGUACGGGAGAGGUGAGUGGAACUCCGAGUGUAGAGGUGAAAUUCGUAGAUAUUCGGAAGAACACCAGUGGCGAAGGCGACUCACUGGCCCGUUACUGACGCUGAGGCGCGAAAGCGUGGGGAGCAAACAGGAUUAGAUACCCUGGUAGUCCACGCUGUAAACGAUGAGUGCUAGUUGUCGGGCGGCAUGCCGUUCGGUGACGCAGCUAACGCAUUAAGCACUCCGCCUGGGGAGUACGGUCGCAAGAUUAAA
rnacentral:rRNA from 1 species